AUAGUUACUUAGUGAUAUAUAUUGCUAUGGUUAAGUGCUGUGAAUUGUAUUAUAUAUUGAAUUUGCUUUUAUUGUAAAUUUACUUGCAGGUAUAUUGCAUUUGCCUUUGUUGUAAAUUUACUUGCUAUUAAGAAUACAUAAUGUCUAUGCAAUUUCAAGAUGAUGCAGAUGGUAUACCUCCUUCUGAGGCUGAAAGUAGGAAUGAAAGGCCCCAAAGGAUAAAGCACCCUUCAGCCAAGAUGCUAGCCCAUCUAAUAGAUGAAAAGGAGCUCCUCCAUGUGAGGUUAGGUUCGGCAUGGGAGCGAAUUGUAACAUUAAUGGACAGAAUUGAGAGCUUGGGUAUUACAAGGGUGCCAUCCAUAUUACAGACAGACCUUGAAGAGACCUUCGGUAUUUGGAGGGGUUUGGUGUCUAAGAUAGUCCAGGUCCUCGAGCGCAUUAACGCCAAGGAUUCAGAGUUAGAAAUAGUGAGUGUCUUAGCUGACACUAAUGAGAAAGAAAAUAAGGUGAGGGCAAUUCUAGAUGCCUUGGAAUUUAGUUCUCCAUCUGUUAAUCUAAGGUCUGAGCCAAAAGGAAAUCAGUCUUCCUUAUGCAGCCAUGAGACCAAUCUUUUAAAAUCACCUGCUGUGGCACUUAGUCUUAAGUCCAACCGCUCUAGCCAGGUAUCUAAGCUAAGGGAGUGUGCAUCAUCUAAACAUAGCCACUCUAGCAAGUCUUCUGCUGCUGGGAGUGCCAUCUCUUCCCUAGCUGCCUUGCACAUUAAGGAGGCUGCACGUCUGGAGCUACAGAGCAAGGUUGCGGAGGCGGAAGCUGAUGCAAAAGCAGCUGACCACACUUUCCACCUUAAAGAGGAGGAACAGCGACUCCAAAUAGAACAGGCCCAAAGGCAAUGUGAAAUAGAAAUGCUUAGAAUAAGGAUGGAUGCUACUGCCAAAAAGGUAAAGGCUGAGACUUUGGCCAAGGUCCUAAGUGGGCAGCUCACAGAAGAAAAUGUAAGUCAGUUGCCGAAGCAGGACCCUUCUUCCAAGGUGCUUGUGCAUCUUAAUAGCUUAAACAGCCAGCUUUUUGACGAGGAACAUGAAGACUUCUCCGUUCGGUCAGAACAGGGCCCUAAAGUUGCCUUCGGGCUGCCGGAAGUUCAAAGCGUCAUAGCGGGGAGCUCCUCUUUGCUCAGUUUGCCUGUGCCUCCUACUAAGAUUCCCGAGCAGUCAGCCAAACCAUCAAAGCCUAUCACCAAUUGGGCCCUACAAGCAAGUCCAAAAGGAACCAUCUGUCCGUCUACAGACGAUGCCUUCCCUCCAAAGGGUCAAAGGUCGACACCAGGAGCACGGGAUUUCUCCCUGCAGCAGCCAACGCCACAUAAGACACCGUCAACACCAGAAUCCCAACUCGUCUCGAUCCUUAGAAGUCCCAAAAGAGACCUCAAGGACAAGGGAGUCGAAAAGUUUUCAGACAAGCCUGAAGAGUUCCUUCUCUGGAAGGUUACCUUCAAGAGGGCAAUUAGAGACUUAAAGUUGUUGCCUGAAGAAGAGCUGACCCUGCUAGGCGCCUGGUUGGGUCCAGCAUCAUCUUCUCAAGUUAAGAGAAUAUAUUCAGCCCAUGUAGCUGAUCCCGACAAAGCCUUGGAAAAGGCCUGGGACAGAUUACAUCAGCGGUAUGGAGCUAGCACGGAGAUUGAAGCAUCUCUAAUGGACAAGCUGCAAAGGUUCCCAACCUUAAAGCUCAAGGACUGCAAGCUCUUGUGGGACCUCAGUGAUCUUCUUGCAGAGUUAGAGUCGGCCAAGGAGAAUCCAGAGUUGCCUGGACUGCAGUGCCUCGAUCAGCAUCUGUCCCAGCGGCAGAUUCUGGACAAACUUCCCUUUGCCCUGCAGGAAGACUGGGGGAAACAGGUUUUUAACUACAAGGAGGCCCAUUCUCAGGCGUACCCACCGUUUUCCCAUCUGGUCCAGUUCAUCACCAGAGCGGCCAGGGAAAGGAAUGAUCCACAGACGGGCCUGCCCACCUUAUAUCAAGGGAUCCAUACAGGGAAGGCGCCUGAAGUGGACAAGAAACCACCUAGAGAGGCCAAUAGACCUGUCAGCGUAAAGGCAGUCGAAACUCAACACAAGACUGACAAAACCAGGUCAGAAGUAAAGGAGGUGCUCUGCCCCAUUCACCAAAAGCCUCACAGUUUGGCCAACUGCCGGGAAUUUGGCAAGAAGCCUUAUAAAGAAAGACAACAGAUUGUACAGAAGCUGGGCAUAUGUUUUAGGUGCUGUGGAGCAACUCCUCACUUUGCUUCCAACUGCAAAGAGGACGUCAAAUGCGCAAGGUGUAACAGCCUUAAGCAUUGCACCGCGAUGCACAACUCUGACGCUGUCUCCCGCGCCAAAGGGGACACGUCUUCCAAAGAAGGGUCAUCUACUGAAGCCACCAACAUGCAGACCGCGUCACGGAUGCAGGAGGAUGCUCCAUCGGUCGCCUGUACUGAACUAUGCUCUGACGUGCACCAGUUCAGAGUCUGCCAUCCCAUCUGCCUAGCAGAUGUAUAUCCAGCCAGAAGACCUUGGCUUAAAAAGAGACUUUACGUGGCUUUGGAUUCACAAAGCGACGCCUCCCUGGCGACUCCAGAGUUUUUCCAACUGUUUGACAUAAAAACCCAGACGGCCGACUACACCAUGUCCACCUGUGUAGGGAAGAAGAAGUUGCAGGGUCGCAUAGCAUCCGGCUUUGUUGUCUCCUCUUGUGACCAGAAGAGACUGUUCGAGUUACCAGACCUCAUUGAGUGUUCCUCUAUUCCCCGGAACAAAAGGCAGAUUGUCACCAGAGAAGUCGUGGAAGCCCAUCCUCACUUGCGAAGGCUGAAGAACGCCUUACCUGCUUUCCGUCCAGAUGUGGACAUUGCCCUUCUGCUUGGUGCGGACUGUCCGAACUUGUUCUAUGUGAACGACCAAGUUAAGGGACCUCCAGGGGCGCCCAUUGCUCAGCUGCUACCACUAGGCUGGACAGUUACAGGCCCAGUGUGCAUAAAUAGGAUGCACCCUCCAUCGUCGGUGGGCACUCGUCAAGCGCACGUGCUUCAAGGCAGUCGCCCCACACUAAUGCAUAGCUGUUUGAGUCAUAUCUCGGUCUAUUGUCAGGGGAUAACACCAGAGUAUUCUUCCAUCUUUGAAGUCUCCGAAAGGGAUGAAACUACAGCGCUUUCCAAAGAUGAACAGAGGUUUUUAGAGAUCAUGAACUCUCAAGUUUCCCGGAGUCCCGAGGGAAAUUGGAUAGCCCCUCUGCCUUUUAAAGCAGAAAAACCCACUUUGCCAAACAACAGGCAUGUGGCAGAAAAUAGACUCUGGUCACUGAAGAAGAAGAUGCAGAAAGACCCCAAGGUAAAGGAGCAAAUCGUUGGCUUUAUGGAAGACAUGUUCCAAAGUAACUACGCCGAGGUCUCUGAUCAAAGUGAGGUCAAUGAAGAAAAUUGGUUCCUGCCUUUCCAUAAAGUCACGCAUCCCCAAAAGCCUAACAAGGUCCGAAUUGUAUUCGAUGCCAGUGCCACAUGCCAAGGCAUUUCUCUUAAUAAUGUUUUGCUAAAGGGACCAGAUCUUUUAAACAGUUUGCUCGGAGUCAUCUUGAGAUUUAGAGAGAAAGAGUUUGCUGUUAUUGCAGACAUCCACAAGAUGUUUUACGCCUUUUUAGUUCGUCCUGAUCAUCGCAGGUACCUCAAGUUCUUGUGGUACGCGGACACUCAAAAUGUGUGUGACGUUCGGGUUUUUCAGAUGCGCGUACAUGUCUUUGGAAAUACCCCGUCUCCAGCCGUUGCAAACUACUGCCUCAAAAGAACCGCAGAUGAGUUUGGGCACCAGUUCAGUCCAGAAGUCGCCAGCAUAGUUAACCACAACUUCUACGUGGAUGAUCUUCUGGUUUCGUUUGACUCCGUUCAUCAAGCCAUCCAAAUAGUGCAUGAGCUGCAGGCUUUGUUAAAAGGUGCCAACAUUCGCCUGCACAAACUAUUAUCCAACAGCAGACAAAUCUUGCAAGCCUUUCCCUCCGAAGACUUAGCGGAAAGCAAUGUUCAUGAGUUAUUCAAAGGGUUAAGCUCCCAGUCUAGUUUAGGACUUCUCUGGGAUGUAAAAUCGGACCAUCUUUCGUUAAGAGCAUCUAAAUUUCAGUUUGUGAACACUAAGAGACAGAUGCUUUCCGCCAUCAAUGGGAUAUUUGAUCCCUUAGGCAUAGCUGCUCCUGUCCUGAUCACUGCUAAACUUCUGUUCAGACAGGUGAUCCAAGAAAAAAUAGGAUGGGAUCAAGAGCUGUCUCAAUCAAUAAAAACGGCUUGGUCAAACUGGACUGCCCAAGCUGAAGGCCUGGAAACCAUCGCAGUUCCCAGACAAUUUGCGCCCUGUAAGGUAAUGAUAGAACCCACCACAGAACUUCACAUCUUCUGUGACGCAUCUGAGCGAGCUGUAGCAGCUGUGGCAUACAUGCGACAAAAGGACAGAGAUUUUUGUCACGCAGGAUUCAUCAUGGCAAAGGCUAAAAUAGCUCCUAUGGGAACUUCAAUACCCCGGCUGGAAUUGUGUGCAGCAGUUCUUGCUGUCCAGCUCUGGCGCAUCAUCCAGCAAGAGAUAGGAGACUUGUUUCAAGAUGUCCAUUUCCACACGGACAGUACAGUUGUGCUUGGUUACAUCAACAACACAACCAAAAGAUUCAAGGUGUAUGUGGCUAAUAGAAUCAACAACAUUCUAUCCAGUUCUACGCCUAGCCAGUGGCACCACGUCGCCACCAGCAACAACCCAGCUGACAUCGCUUCCAGAGGAGCUUCAACUCAACGAGUGUUAAGUUCAAGUUGGCUGACAGGCCCCAGAUGCUUGACCGAAGUCAAUUUUCCAUCAGCCUUUUCUCCCACCGAUAAUACAGAAUUGCCCGAGUCCGUUCCAGAGGUGAAAGUUUGCAAGAUGACCACAGAAAUCAAGAUGGGCCAAAGAUCUUGCCUGGAACCACACCGUUUUGAAUGUUUUUCGGAGUGGCACAGUCUUCUUAGAGCAGUUGCUAGGCUUAUACAUCGUUUAGCUUGCAAAGAUAGUGAGCCUUUACAGGUCCAGGAUAUGAUAAAGGCUAAGAGCGUCAUAUUCAAGUCAGUACAGAGAUCUGCUUUCAAGCAGGAAAUAGCUAGGCUAGAGCAAGGGCUCAACAUCCCUAAUCAAAGUCUUCUAAAUGAGUUAAACCCAUUUCUAGACAAGGAGGGUAUUUUGAGAGUUGGAGGAAGGUUAGCCAAAGCUAAACUCAAGGCGUGCAUAAAAAACCCCAUCAUCAUACCCCCUAAUAGUCACACUGCAUUGCUGCUCGUUCGGCAUCACCAUGAAAGGAUCCAUCAUCAGGGUAGAACUCUAACUGAGGCAGCCCUUAGAAAUGAAGGUCUGUGGGUAGUUAAUGCCAAAAGGUUGGUCAACAGUUGUAUUUUCAAAUGUGUUAAAUGCAGGCGCCUUAGGCGAAACUGUCAAAGUCAGUUGAUGGCAGAACUACCUCAGGAUAGGACUUUGACAGACCCACCCUUUUCCCAUGUGGGAAUCGAUGUGUUUGGUCCUUGGGAGGUUGUCACUAGGAAAACCAGGGGUGGUGUUGUAAAUAACAAGAGGUGGGCAGUUUUGUUUACUUGUUUAGUAAUACGAGCUGUCCAUAUAGAAGUCAUAGAAGGGAUGGACACUUCAUCAUUUUUAAACGCAUUAAAAAGGUUCAUAGCCCUCAGAGGGCCAAUUAAGUCAAUUCGGUCGGACUGUGGCACCAAUUUUGUAGGUGCGACCAAAGAACUCAAUUGUGUGUCUAGGUUUGGGAGAGACCCAAAGGUUCAGAACUUUACGAAUACUGAACAAAUUAUGUGGACUUUCAAUGUUCCUCACGCCUCCCACAUGGGUGGUGUUUGGGAGAGGAUGAUUGGUAUUAGUCGCAAAAUCCUUAAUGCCAUGUUUUUGAGUCAUAGGUCAUUGACGCAUGAUGUUUUGGUGACACUUAUGGCGGAAGUUACCGCAAUUAUCAACAACCGGCCGCUGGUUCCCCUUACCAGUGACCCUGAGAACUUACAACCACUGACUCCUGCACUUAUUUUGACACAAAAGGUGCCAGGAUGGAAGGACGUCAUGUUGCCAGUUCCGGACGGAACUCACCGUGCCCUGUGGAAACAGGUGCAGUCCUUGGCCAACCACUUUUGGAAAAGGUGGAAAGCUGAGUACUUAAGCCAGCUUCAAGCUAGAAGAAUCUGGCAAAGCCCACAGGACAACAUUGAGGUUAACAACGUUGUGUUGUUAAAGGACAAAGACUUGCCCCGCCAUGCAUGGCCCAUGGGCAUUGUAUUAAAGACCUUUCCUUGCCCGGACGGUAAGGUCAGGAAAGUUCAAUUAAAGACUUGCAACAGAGGCAAAGUGUCCAUUUUGGACAGACCAAUUAGUGACCUCGUGUUGCUUAUUGGAGAUGUUUAAAGUUCUAGUGUUUGUAUUGUUGUGUAUACAAAGGUGUUUGUAUGUUUUUGAUUGGUAAAUUCCCACAUCCUGGGAAUUUAGCGGGGAGUGUUCCGUCCCCCAGGACGAUGGUUUGCCUUACCUAUUGGUCGUUUGUUUGUUUUCCCUCCUUUACAUUUUGUUUGAGCCUCUGGCUGCAAAGGCCUAGGAAAAGUGGCUUGGAAUCUGCAAGAGCUGGCUGCAGUUUUCUUUGCAGUGAUUGGUCAAAGAAUGCAACAUCUUAGGACCGCCCUUUUUACCAGGGUCUAGUCUCCAUUUUAGAGUUUCAUUCUGGCUAUAGUCUUCCAACGUGCUGGAGCUAUGCAAGGCUAACUGGGACAAAUCAUCCUCAAAACCAGGCCAAUCUAAGCCUAUCCAAAUUAGAUAAGUAUUGAAUUAUAUUGAUCUGGAAUAGGAAAUCUAGUUGGAGGAGCAGGGUUAUUCUGUCGCUUCUAGAACUAAUCUUUGCUGUAAAGAUAGGGAAGGAAAGAGUUUCUCCUUCUAAUAUAGGCAGCGUGAUUAGGGUAUAGUGGUUUUAUAAUCACCUUUGCUUUCUGGAACCAGGGAUAAUUCUGUACCUAAAACCUAUAGAAAUUUGUUUCAUUUUCUGCAACUUUAAGAUCUGUGCCAGGUUUACAACCUUGUAUGAAUAAACAUCCUUUUUUGAAGUUAUCCAGACUCAGUCGUUCAAUAUCUAUAGGACAGCUUAUAGGGAUUUGCAGUUCGCCCGGAUAAAGGACAGCACGUUUCAGUUUUAUGGUUUUUUAUUGUCCGGCGGACGGCACAACUAUGUCUUUGUGUCUGUAAUAAUAAUAAUAAUAAUAAUAAUCCAGCAUAUAGAUCUCAUUUGCUGUGUCAUACUAUGCCUUUGUGUCUAUAAUAAUAAUAAUAUUAAUAAUAAUAAUAAUCCAGCAUAUAGAUCUCGUUUCCUGUGUCAUACUAUGUCUUUGUGUCUAUAAUAAUAAUAAUAAUAAUAAUAAUAAUAAUAAUAAUAAUAAUCCAGCAUAUAGAUCUCGUUUGCUGUGUCAUACUAUGCCUUUAUGUCAAUAAUAAUAAUAAUAUAGUAUUAUUAUUAUAAUGGGCUGGUCCAUGCGUUUACGAAGAUUCGGAAGUGAAUGAAUAAAUAAACAACAACAAAAUAAUAAUUAUAAUAAUCUGUAUUAUGUUUUGCUCUAGGCCAUUGAAAGUCCAGAGAGGAGAAACAAAGGACUUGGGGGUUUGGAAGCCGGCACGGAUGGCUGUCUUUAUAGUUUUCCUCUCUUUAUGGAUCUGCCGAGAGGAAGGGGUGGGCUGAUGGAAGGAGUUCACCCCGAGCCGGACUUGAACUGCUGACUUUUUGAUCGGCAGGAUGUUCUGCAGCUAGUGGUUUAGGCCAUUGAGCCUUUCAAGAUCGGUAAAAAGGUGAUGAUACCGAGCAAGGCGAAUGAAUGGAGGCAUUUCUCCUCCAAAUAAGAAUCCUUAUGCUCCUGAUUGACGUUGGGAACUUGGAGACCUUGGGCAUUUCUGAUCCACAUCUAAGGG